GAUGAACGCUAGCUACAGGCCUAACACAUGCAAGUCGAGGGGCAGCGGGAAGGAAGCUUGCUUUCUUCGCCGGCGACCGGCGCACGGGUGCGUAACGCGUAUCGAACCUACCCUUUACUCGGGAACAGCCUUGCGAAAGCAAGAUUAAUGCCCGAUGUUCCGCGUUUGCCGCAUGGCAAAUUCGGCAAAGAUUUAUUGGUAAAGGAUGGCGAUGCGUCCCAUUAGUUAGUUGGCGGGGUAACGGCCCACCAAGGCGACGAUGCGUAGGGGUUCUGAGAGGAAGGUCCCCCACACUGGUACUGAGACACGGACCAGACUCCUACGGGAGGCAGCAGUGGGGGAUAUUGCACAAUGGGGGAAACCCUGAUGCAGCGACGCCGCGUGAGUGAAGAAGUAUUUCGGUAUGUAAAGCUCUAUCAGCAGGAAAGAUAAUGACGGUACCUGACUAAGAAGCACCGGCUAAAUACGUG
rnacentral:rRNA from 1 species